rnacentral:misc_RNA from 1 species
GAUGAAGAACGCAGCGAAAUGCGAUAAGUAAUGUGAAUUGCAGAAUUCAGUGAAUCAUCUAAUCUUUGAACGCACCUUGCGCCCUUUGGCCAUUCCGAAGGGCAUGCCUGUUUGAGUAUCAUGAACACCUCAACUCUUUAUGGUUUUCCAUGAUGAGCUUGGACUUUGGGGGUUUUGCUGGCCUAUGGUCGGCUCCUCUAAAAUAAAUCAGCUUACCGGUGUUUGGUGGGUAUCAUGGGUGUGAUAACUAUCUACGCUUGUGGUUUUUCCACCAGGUAACCUUCGACAGCGGAGGUUCACUGGAGCUCAUAGAUGUCUCUCCUCAGCGAGGACAGCCCUUUGAAUGUUUGAUCUCAAAUCAGGUAGGACUACCCGCUGAACUUAAGCAUAUCAAUAAGCGGAGGA